rnacentral:misc_RNA from 1 species
AUGAAGAACGCAGCGAAAUGCGAUAAGUAAUGUGAAUUGCAGAAUUCAGUGAAUCAUCGAGUCUUUGAACGCACAUUGCGCCCCCUGGUAUUCCGGGGGGCAUGCCUGUCCGAGCGUCAUUGCUGCCCUCAAGCACGGCUUGUGUGUUGGGCCUCCGUCCUCCUCCCGGGGGACGGGCCCGAAAGGCAGCGGCGGCACCGCGUCCGGUCCUCGAGCGUAUGGGGCUUCGUCACCCGCUCUUGUAGGCCCGGCCGGCGCUUGCCGACACAUCAAUCUUUUUUCCAGGUUGACCUCGGAUCAGGUAGGGAUACCCGCUGAACUUAAGCAUAUCAAUAAGCGGAGGA